GGUCACAAAACCAACGGCCAACGAUGGUCAACCGAUCAUUGGUAACACUGAUAUAUUAUUAACACAUUUUAUUGUUCUAUGAAUUUCCAAAUUUCCAAAGUGUAAUUUAUAGCAAAUACUGUAAAUCAUUUACAGUAUUUGUUUAUAGUCUUACAAUUUUAUCUAACCUUGCUUGUCACUUCACUGGACUUAAAUACUUUAUAGCGGACUGGAGUACUGGAAUCUGGAACCAUAGUCCGUUCUAAACUAUUAUGUGUAUGCAAAUGCUACUAUAAUAUCUUGAAUUAUUCUGUGCUGAGUGAUUUUAAGUUUUGACGCCACCUGUGGAUCACCACUUCAUCGUUGUCGUAUAUUGAUUGACGACAGUCUUGUUUGAGAGUUUCUGUGGAUCAUAGUCUUCUGUCUUUAUUUGAAAAAUCAAUUGUUAAAUAAUAUAUCAAACUAUAAGUUCGCCAUCAUUGAAUGUAUUUUGUCCAAAACAUUGAGAUUCUGAAGCACCAAUAUCAGAUAUUACAGAGAUCUUAUCAGAAAAUGACACUUAAAAAUUUCUACAUAUCAUAUGAAUUUGGCAAAUCAGGGUUUACCAAAGUGAAGGAUUUGGCCGGAGCAACGCUUGCAAAAACCAACUUGGUUAAAUUGUCAGGAGAUACCCUAUUGCUGCUUUAUGGAGCUAUGGACGUAUAAACUAAUGACAUUCAAAUUUUCUAGAUUAUAUUUAUAUAAUUAUAUACAUUUUUUUUUUCGGAUAUAUAGUGAACGCCUAGGUAAGUUAUAAUUAUUAUCAGUACUAUCUAUUGUUAUGUUAUAUUUGGAUGAGCAUGCGUUAACUAUGACCAAAUUACCAUUAUUUUUGUAAGCUGCUUCAGGAUUAGUAUCUAAGUUGAAUAAAAUAUAAUAUAAACUUAACCUUGUAUGAUGUAACCAUAUUUAAACUAUGAAAUAUACAACUUAAAAUGUAUGACAAACAUUUUAAGUUAAUUUUCUGUCUAAACUA